GACAGAGGGUGCAAACGUUGCUCGGAAUCACUGGGCGUAAAGGGCGUGUAGGCGGGCAGGCAAGUCAGAUGUGAAAUCCCUGGGCUCAACCCAGGAACUGCAUUUGAAACUCCCUUUCUUGAGUGUCGGAGAGGAAAGCGGAAUUCCUGGUGUAGAGGUGAAAUUCGUAGAUAUCAGGAGGAACACCGGUGGCGAAGGCGGCUUUCUGGACGACAACUGACGCUGAGACGCGAAAGCGUGGGGAGCAAACAGG
rnacentral:rRNA from 1 species